CAACCUAUUAAACACAUAUCACUUAUCCUCUUAUCUAAAUGUUAUUCCAUAGGAGAAAAUUUAAAUUUUUAAGCUAAGGACACAAUUUCCAUUAGAAAGAGUACACUGGUUGAUCAGGCCACCGCACUUCCUUCUAAUUUCUUCUGUGUCUCAAAGCUUUAACUAACUUCUAAAAUAUCAUUAUUUAUAGAUAUAAUUAUCUUUCACCAUUUAUUUAUCUAUUUAUUUAUUCUUAUUAUUUAUUUUAUUUAUGAUUCUGUAACUGUCUUAGUGCACAGUGCGUCCACCUGCAUUAAGACCGUCUCCUAUUUAGUGUCUCUCCUUUGUUGGUUACGGCCGAUCCCAACGUAGGAGUUUUAUAUUCAAUUUCCUAUGUUCCGCAAUUGAUUCCUAAGGCCCAACUUAAUGCUCUGAUACCAACUUUGUCACGACCCAUUUCCGUGGGCCGGACCN
rnacentral:lncRNA from 1 species